rfam:Camelus ferus unplaced genomic scaffold scaffold157, whole genome shotgun sequence.
GGAGAGUAAAGCUCAGUGGUAGAGUGCAUGCCUAGCAUGUACGAGGUCCUGGGUUCAAGCCUCAGCACCUCCA